AAACGAUGAUCCCCAGCUUGCUGGGGGGAUUAGUGGCGAACGGGUGAGUAACACGUGAGUAACCUGCCCCCGACUUCGGGAUAAGCCCGGGAAACUGGGUCUAAUACCGGAUAUGACCACUUACCGCAUGGUGGGUGGUGGAAAGACUUGUUCGGUGGGGGAUGGACUCGCGGCCUAUCAGCUUGUUGGUGAGGUAAUGGCUCACCAAGGCGACGACGGGUAGCCGGCCUGAGAGGGUGACCGGCCACACUGGGACUGAGACACGGCCCAGACUCCUACGGGAGGCAGCAGUGGGGAAUAUUGCACAAUGGGCGCAAGCCUGAUGCAGCGACGCCGCGUGAGGGAUGACGGCCUUCGGGUUGUAAACCUCUUUCAGUAGGGAAGAAGCCGCAAGGUGACGGUACCUGCAGAAGAAGCGCCGGCUAACUACGUGCCAGCAGCCGCGGUAAUACGUAGGGCGCAAGCGUUAUCCGGAUUUAUUGGGCGUAAAGAGCUCGUAGGCGGUUUGUCGCGUCUAUCGUGAAAGACCAGGGCUCAACCCUGGUUCUGCGGUGGGUACGGGCAGACUAGAGUGAUGUAGGGGAGACUGGAAUUCCUGGUGUAGCGGUGAAAUGCGCAGAUAUCAGGAGGAACACCGAUGGCGAAGGCAGGUCUCUGGGCAUUUACUGACGCUGAGGAGCGAAAGCAUGGGGGGGCGAACAGGAUUAGAUACCCUGGUUAGUCCAUGCCGUAAACGUUGGGCACUAGGUGUUGGGGGGACAUUUCCACGUUUUCCGCCGCCGUAGCUAACGCAUUAAGUGCCCCGCCUGGGGGAGUACGGCCGCAGGCUAAACUCAAAGGA
rnacentral:rRNA from 1 species